rnacentral:tRNA from 1 species
GGCAGAGUGGCCGAGUGGUCUAAGGCGCUAGUUUCAGGUACUAGUAUCUUCGGAGCGUGGGUUCGAAUCCCACCUCUGUCA